GUAGUAGAUUAAUUAACCAACUUCGGGCACCCCCAACUUCCAUGGUGUGACGGGCGGUGUGUACAAGACCCGGGAACGCAUUCACCGCGGCAUUCUGAUCCGCGAUUACUAGCAACUCCGACUUCAUGUAGGCGGGUUGCAGCCUACAAUCCGAACUGGGACCGGCUUUUGGGUUUCGCUCCAUCUCACGAUAUUGCUUCCUGUUGUACCGGCCAUUGUAGCACGUGUGUAGCCCAGAACAUAAGGGGCAUGAUGAUUUGACGUCAUCCCCACCUUCCUCCGAGUUGUCCCCGGCAGUCCCUCUAGAGUGCCCGACCUAAUCGCUGGCAACUAAAGGCAAGGGUUGCGCUCGUUGCGGGACUUAACCCAACAUCUCACGACACGAGCUGACGACAACCAUGCACCACCUGUCAUCCUUGUCCGAAGAGGGCCGGGCGUUACCCCGGCUUUCAAGGAGAUGUCAAGCCCUGGUAAGGUUCUUCGCGUUGCUUCGAAUUAAACCACAUGCUCCGCUGCUUGUGCGGGUCCCCGUCAAUUCCUUUGAGUUUUACACUUGCGUGCGUACUCCCCAGGCGGAGCACUUAAUGCGUUAACUGCGGCACCGAGGUUUCUCCCCGACACCUAGUGCUCAUCGUUUACGGCGUGGACUACCAGGGUAUCUAAUCCUGGUNGCUCCCACGCUUUCUGCCUCAUGGCAGUUCAAUCCAAAAGCCGCUUCGCCAUGGGGUUCCCCUAAUCUACCAUUUAC
rnacentral:rRNA from 1 species